rnacentral:rRNA from 1 species
AUUGAACGCUGGCGGCAGGCCUAACACAUGCAAGUCGAGCGGAUGAGGAAAGCUUGCUUUUCGAUUCAGCGGCGGACGGGUGAGUAAUGCCUAGGAAUCUGCCUGUUAGUGGGGGAUAACUCGGGGAAACUCGGGCUAAUACCGCAUACGUCCUACGGGAGAAAGUGGGGGAUCUUCGGACCUCACGCUAACAGAUGAGCCUAGGUCGGAUUAGCUAGUAGGUGAGGUAAUGGCUCACCUAGGCGACGAUCCGUAACUGGUCUGAGAGGAUGAUCAGUCACACUGGAACUGAGACACGGUCCAGACUCCUACGGGAGGCAGCAGUGGGGAAUAUUGGACAAUGGGCGAAAGCCUGAUCCAGCCAUGCCGCGUGUGUGAAGAAGGUCUUCGGAUUGUAAAGCACUUUAAGUUGGAAGGAAGGGUAUUCACCUAAUACGUGGGUACUUUGACGUUACCAACAGAAUAAGCACCGGCUAACUCUGUGCCAGCCGCCGCCUAACAC